rnacentral:tRNA from 1 species
CUCGUAGCUCAGUUGGUAGAGCAGUUGACUCUUAAUCAAUUGGUCGGGGGUUCGAAUCCCCCCGGGU